rnacentral:rRNA from 1 species
UAGUCCACGCCGUAAACGAUGAGAACUAGGUGCAGCGGAUAUUGACCUCUGCUGUGCCGUAGCUAACGCGUUAAGUUCUCCGGCCUGGGGAGUACGGCCGACAAGGCUAAAACUCAAAGGAAGUUGACGGGGGCCCGCACAAGCGGUGGAGCAUGUGGUUUAAUUCGAUGAUACGCGAGGAACCUUACCUGGACUAGAAUGCUAGUGGGAGUGAUGUGAAAGCUGAUCGUCCUUCGGGACUGCUAGCAAGGUGCUGCAUGGUUGUCGUCAGCUCGUGCCGUGAGGUGUUGGGUUAAGUCCCGCAACGAGCGCAACCCUUAUCCUUAGUUGCCAACACGUAAAGUGGGGACUCUAGGGAGACUGCCGGCGCAAGCCGAGAGGGAAGGUGGGGGAUGACGUCAAAUCAUCAUGGGCCUUUAUGUCCAGGGGCUACGACACGUGCUACAAUGGGUGCACACAACGGGGCAAGCGAAGGUCGCGAGACUGGG